AAUAGUUAAAACUAUCUAAUAACGCACUUCAAGCCUUGUGUAAUGGGCACUUCAAGAGUGAUUUUCUUAUAAACUGAAGUAGCGAGUAGAAAUCAGCAAUGUCUUCGCAAUAUCGAGUCCCAAAAUGGGCUUCCAAGCCUUGUGUGAUGGGCAUCGAUGAAGCUGGUCAAGGCCUUGUUUUAGGUUUUCUAUGUUCCUAUUCGUUUCGUUCCAUUUCUGCCUCUUUAAUUCCGCUUCGAUCAUCAUAUUUUGGGACUCAAAAAAUUUGAAACAAGAGAAGAGGGAGGAAUUGUUUGAAGAUUUGAAGGCUAACGAGUCAAUUGGAGGGGCUGUUGAUGUCAUAGAUCCUCGAGAACUUUCAUCUAAAAUGCUAAAUAAGUCUUCAGUGGUUUAUAAAUUCUUUCAUUUGCAUAAAUACUUUUAUUUUCACUUUACCUAUUGAAUUCGAUGGUAUAGAGAAUGGAACUUAGUUGAAAUUUCGUAUUUCUUGAGAAAUGGUAUUACAUGAAAUCUCGUCUUUCUUACUGGUACGGUUAGAUGUUUUAGUGUUUAUAAUUCUUUCACUUUAUAGAGCUUCUUCCAUUGGGGCAUCAGCUGGUCGAGGUAUCAUUGGGAGGUAGAACGGCCUAGUUUACGUGUGGGAAUUAUCUAUAGGAAUUAAACUGGGCACUCUUCUUCAUUUUGAAGGUACAAAUGUUGUUUGUAUUGCAAUUGAUAAUAAAGAGAUAGGUGUGGUGGCUGUAGCAGCUGAAAAUAGGCUUCUGGUAUAUCUAGUUCCAUCAGAUUGGAAAAGGGAUUCGGACAAAGUGGAUGAAGAUGAGGAAACAGUUGGAAGUGGUAAAAAAACAAUUAAAACUAAGCAAUCUUGGUAUCACCACAUGGAAGAGAGAGUGAAGAAAUUGAAUCAAAUGCCAAAGGACGGUGCAAGUUUUUCCAGACUAGAUAGGAAGAUUGCAUUGGACAUGUUUUAAGAAGGUUGACAAGUGGAGAAGGUGCAUCCAACACAAAAAGGACUUCAUAACAACAUUAAUAAUAAGUACAAGGAAGUCAUGCUUUCAAUUUGGAUCAAAUAUGUGGUGGAUGGUGGAGAGAACAUAAUAAAGGAGCAAUUGAAAAACUAUUUGGAAAACAAUAUAUAAUGGCAACAAGUGUGUAAUGACCCGACCCCCAAGAACUUAAGUUAGGCUGUUACUAAAUACAUGCAUGUAUGGAACUCAAAACGACAUUCGGUUAUGGUGAAAUAAAUGAUAAUUAAAUAAGGUAAGUU